CUCGUGCGCAGCGAGCGACACGCCACGAGUGAGUCCGGAACACUUAUUUUGGACAUGUGGCGGCCCACGCAGCGCGAGCGCUUCGCAUGUUACGUCAACUGCAGCACUAUUUUCUCACCCAUGUUACUUCAAACGCAGAGGUGGGCCUAUAGCUGCAUCGCUACCGGUUCGCUACCCAUGUGGGAAGAGAGGCAAGAGAGUGGCCACCUAAAAGAGCUCCUUGCAUCACGCAGCGCGGAAAAAAGGCUACCCACUUGGCCGUCGGCCCGCCGCAAUGAUUGCCGGUUCUUGAACCAUUCCUUCUCGAG